UACGUAGGGUGCAAGGCGUUGUCCGGAAUUAUUGGGCGUAAAGAGCUCGUAGGCGGUUCGUCGCGUCGGCUGUGAAAUCCCGAGGCUCAACCUCGGGUCUGCAGUCGAUACGGGGCGGACUGGAGUUCGGCAGGGGAGACUGGAAUUCCUGGUGUAGCGGUGAAAUGCGCAGAUAUCGGGAGGAACACCGGUGGCGAAGGCGGUUCUCUGGGCCUUACCUGACGCUGAGGAGCGAAAGCGUGGGGGAGCGAACAGG
rnacentral:rRNA from 1 species